CCAAUGAAUCUUAAAUUCCUAUGUCCAUUCCAAUUUAAAUUAAAUUAAAGUCUGAACAAGUUAUUCCAGCUGCAACUGCUUACCCUUAGUGAAAAAAACAAUCUAUAAGAAAAAACCUCAUUUAUAAAACACAUACAAUUGGACUUGAUCCAAAUUUUCAUGAAUUUUAUCACAUUUAUUUGACAAAACUGAUCUUCUGAAAAUAAUAAUAACGCUAAUAGUAUAUGCCUGCACAUGUUGUACAGAAACCAGACCAUGUCUUUUUUUUUUUUUUUCCAUUUUACUUCUUUAUUUGAGCAUCUCAUCAUUCAGUCACACUUUGUCCAUACUGAAGUUAUGCUUAUUUGGACCUUCAUAGUAAUCUAAUCUAAAUGUAGCUGUUAACCCUUACCGUUUGACUUUAAAGAGGGUUAAAGCAGGAGGUUCUGACAGCAGCAUACAGUACUAUCCACGGCCUAAGUACACUUGCAACACAGACAGGCCGAGCUUCUUAUGUGUGCCGUUUCUUUAAGAGCAGCUGAGAUGGCGACCCUCAACAAUCUUUUAAUGCACUUGUGGACAGAUUGACAUUAGACUAGAGCGGAUCACGUAGGCGAUCGUCGCCCAUGACCUGAAGAAGCCCUUGAGAGAAGGUACGAUUACAUGUGCAAAACUGUGUGACGUAUGAGAACUUGGUGAGAGAGUGGUAUGAUCUUGUAGACGUUUGGAGGGAGAGGAACAGAGAGCACAUUUCCGGCAUGCGGCAUCUGGGUCUACUAAAUACCUAGAAUAUUCUCAGUUUUCAUCUGGCUGGGAGGAUUUAGAGGGAUGCAUUUUCAUAUCCUGUUUUCUGUGCUGAAGAAGUUGGCCUUGAGGAAUUUACGGCUUGCCUAAGGUCAGUUGACGUGAUGAGGAUGCGUAUAUAGGCAGAUCUGUGUGUGUGACAAAGGUUAGAUGCGUACAUACACAAGCACAUAAACACACACACACACACACACACACACAAAAAAAAAAAUAUUUACAUGAACUGGACUGCUCUAGUUAUCAAGUUAAAUUCACUGGAGUGAAAGAUUAUCAGGGA
rnacentral:lncRNA from 1 species